GCCUGAAGAUGAACUCGCGUCCGAUUAGCUAGUUGGAGUGGUAAUGGCACCCCAAGGCGAUGAUCGGUAGCUGGUCUGAGAGGAUGAUCAGCCACACUGGGACUGAGACACGGCCCAGACUCCUACGGGAGGCAGCAGUGGGGAAUUUUCCGCAAUGGGCGCAAGCCUGACGGAGCAACACCGCGUGCGGGAGGAAGGCCUUUGGGUUGUAAACCGCUUUUGUCAGGAAGAAGAUCUGGCCGUCCUGCGGAUCAGCAUCGGUAAUUUUCGCCAGGAGUCGCGGGAAUACGGACGAUGGAA
rnacentral:rRNA from 1 species